GUGUUCUCUUUGGUAGCAUGUAUUCUGACAUUGGCAGGGUGCAGAGGGGAUUAGCAUGGCCCCUGCAUAAGGGUGGUAUGAAAAUUUACACAGCAUGCCACAAUGUA
rnacentral:snRNA from 1 species